GACUGGUUGGAAGGUAGAGAGUUAUCUCAGUUGAUUGUUCAGACAGUUACAGAUUGAACUCCUGGUCUACACUUUCCCCUCUUGUCACUACUGUACUUGACUAGUCCUAA
ensembl:misc_RNA Y_RNA Y RNA